rnacentral:rRNA from 1 species
UGGGGAAUAUUGGACAAUGGGCGCAAGCCUGAUCCAGCCAUGCCGCGUGAGUGAUGAAGGCCCUAGGGUUGUAAAGCUCUUUCACCGGUGAAGAUAAUGACGGUAACCGGAGAAGAAGCCCCGGCUAACUUCGUGCCAGCAGCCGCGGUAAUACGAAGGGGGCUAGCGUUGUUCGGAUUUACUGGGCGUAAAGCGCACGUAGGCGGACUUUUAAGUCAGGGGUGAAAUCCCGGGGCUCAACCCCGGAACUGCCUUUGAUACUGGAAGUCUUGAGUAUGGUAGAGGUGAGUGGAAUUCCGAGUGUAGAGGUGAAAUUCGUAGAUAGUCGGAGGAACACCAGUGGCGAAGGCGGCUCACUGGACCAUUACUGACGCUGAGGUGCGAAAGCGUGGGGAGCAAACAGG